CGUGCCAGCAGCCGCGGUAAUACGUAGGGUGCGAGCGUUGUCCGGAAUUAUUGGGCGUAAAGAGCUUGUAGGCGGUUUGUCGCGUCUGCUGUGAAAACCUAAGGCUCAACCUUGGGCUUGCAGUGGGUACGGGCAGACUAGAGUGCAGUAGGGGAGACUGGAAUUCCUGGUGUAGCGGUGGAAUGCGCAGAUAUCAGGAGGAACACCGAUGGCGAAGGCAGGUUACUGGGCAGUUACUGACGCUGAGGAGCGAAAGCAUGGGUAGCGAACAGGAUUAGAUACCCUGGUAGUCCACGCCGUAAAC
rnacentral:rRNA from 14 species